UACGGGGGGGGCAAGCGUUGUUCGGAAUUACUGGGCGUAAAGGGCGCGUAGGCGGUUUGCUAAGUUGGAUGUGAAAACUCUGGGCUUAACCCAGAGCCUGCAUCCAAAACUGGCAAACUUGAGUACUGGAGGGGAAAGCGGAAUUCCUGGUGUAGCGGUGAAAUGCGUAGAUAUCAGGAGGAACACCGGUGGCGAAGGCGGCUUCUGGACAGUAACUGACGCUGAGGCGCGAAAGCUAGGGGAGCAAACGGG
rnacentral:rRNA from 1 species